rnacentral:lncRNA from 1 species
AUUGUUGACAGGGUUACUGCCUUCACUGUGUCUUCUGAAAGUCAGACAAGUGACUUUGUGUGUGUGUGUGUGUGUAUGCACAUUUAUGCACACUUCAGGAAAUAAAGGUUAUCAAGGGACCACAAUGGGAGGUUUAACAUUUCCAAAUAAAGACCUCAAUCAUCAUUAAAACCUUUGGCUGGAGCCUCCUUUAGGGAUGAGUGAGGGAAAAUCUACAAGCAGUCUGAUUGCCUAUAGACAUUGCCUGGCUGAAGAGCUGUUGACAUGAUACUGUUUUUAGAACUUGAGCACACAACUUACCUAUCACAAGAGCGGAGAGCUAUCUUGGUUCAUUUGGGCAUUAUAAAAUCUCAUAAAUUGAGUGGUUUAUAACCAACAUAAACUUAUUUCUCACAGUUCUGGGGGCUGGAAGUCCAAGAUCAAGGUACCAGUAGGUUUGUUGUCAGUGAGGACCUACUUGCUGGUUUAUAGACAUCUUUUUUUCUGGUGUGUCUUCAGAUGGCAGAAGGCAGGAGAGUUCUCUGGAGUCUCUUCUACCAGGGCACUGAUCCCAAGCAUGGAAACAGAGUAGUAAUGACCUCAUAAAGGCCCCUCCCUCUUAUACCAUCACACUGAGGAUUAGGAUGACAACACAGGAAUUUGGAGGCCACACAGUCAUUUAGGCCAUAGCAAAUGUAACUGGAUAUAGAGGCUAGCAAAUGAGAAAAAUUGAUUAAAAGAUCCCCAAAGAGUUUAGAAGCUACAAAGGAGAAAAUUAACCCCUUGGGUCUUAGAUUAGGUACCUCGCUUAUGGGACUGUGGCUGACAAAAGCUGAUACUGACACUGGAGACAAAAGAACUUGAGGACCACAUGUCAUUUUUAUGCAGGGUUGAGGUAGAAUCAUAUAAAAAGGAGUCACAGGGCACCUCAGUCUUGUCUCUCAUGCUCAGCAAAGACACAUUCCAGAGGAAGGAAAGGACAGAUACCCGAGGAAGCUUGCCUUUUAUCCACUGCUAAAGAGAAAUAUCGAACACUUCAAAUCAUUGGAAAGGUGAAGAAAAAUAAAGAAGAAAUCUAAGCACCUCUCCAACACUCCAUGGCUGGAAAUCAAGACAGGAAGGAGUGCAGGCAACAGACAGGGCUCUGAGCUGGAAUAGAGGGCCUGUGUGAGCAUGAGGGCCAAACACUGCAUCUUAUUGAGAAACUUUAAUAGGCUCUGGGGGGCCUCACGUUGAAGUUGGAACACAUUUUAAAAAGGGAGAGAAAAUGAAACUCUGAUCCACUGUGUAGAGGGGAUUAUUCUUUCCUUCAAGUUUUAUUUGAAAGAAGUGAAAGACAGGGUCCAGAAACCCUGGACUCUGACUUGGUGGAAAAAAUAAUCAAACAAAGCAUUUAUUUUCAGUCAGUUCAAAGGACUUCCAUGAUGCUGAGGUGAGAAAGAAGCCAGAAAGCAAGGGAGGAGGCAGCCUUGCCUGGGUAGGCUAGAUGAGGGGCUGAGGAAGAGCUAGGAGUUGAUGGAGAGCAAAGUCCUCUGUUCCUUCAGAAGGGAAGUCUGAUGCCUGUGCUGGGAGAAGGGUGUUACUCAGUCGCCUCCACUGGACAAGACCACACCCCAUGGGGAGGCAAGGUUUCUCCAUAAAGGGUUGGGCGUUUCCACUGUCCAUCAUGCACAUAAGAGGAAGAUCAUGAGGCUGAGAGUCAAAACCCAGAAUGCCUUUGGCCUAAGUGUCUCCCUCAAGGAGUCUAUGGGGUCCUGAGGAUGCCACAAGAUAAGACUUUGCUACAAGAGCUAUGGUGAAAGCAUCAUGUAAAUGGCCUCAAGCUACAAAGAAAAGUACUUUAAAAGCCAGUUAGCCUGCUUGUAGUUCUUCUGUGUUUAUUUCCUCUUCACAACACCC